UGUGCUGUCCAAGGAGAGUUUUCUUGC
rnacentral:piRNA from 1 species